GACCACAUUGCCUUACCCGAUGAGCUCCAGGAUCAAGCUGUGCAGGCUGACACCUUCGGAGGAUUUGCUUUGCAUCAGCACGAACAUCUGCGGGAAUUUCAGCACCAUGCAGACGAGGAGCGUGCUCAGGGGGCGCCCAAAUGGAGUCAGGAAUCCUCCUCUCCUAUUACAUGCCCUCCAGAGCAGUGGGACCAUUGGUAAGGGUCGCCAUCCUUCCUCCACACCCACUCAAAGGAAGUGGCAUUAAUACAUGAGAUGAAGGUUCCGGAGAGGCCCCUGCGAAUCGAACCCACCCGUGCCUGGGACCUCACCUCAUUUCUUGCUUCCUGGGUAACAUUGAGACCCCCCAGAACUGUUUAAGGCCACCUUGUAGAUACCAUCUGUCCAGGAUUGUGUGUCUGUCCAAAGGGCCACUUCAGUCCAAAGAUGGAAGAAAGCUUCUCACGCACGCAGGCGCACACACACAUAUGCUCUAGUCAUGUCUUCUGACUCAUGUGGUUCAUCCAUGUGCCAGUUACCUAGAGAAACAUCUUCCUCUGUCAGUUCCUCCAUCCUGCUUUUCACAGUCGAAUGACUCGCCUACAUCUACCACAGAUCGAGCCGCUUGGGUAAUUUGUCACGCCGCGGGUGACAGGAUCACGUUUGGCUGAGUACCACGGCAACCAAGAGGUCGCUUCAAGUGGGAUGUGGUGAAUCGCCUCUGAUUACGCACUCUUCAGUUCUCCUCCUUUAUCACUUCGUCAUCAUGUGGUUCUGCCUCAGUUCUUCUGUGGUCAGGCAGUGCCUGGCCACACCGGCAAACCUCGCUCUAGUUAUAUGUUGGGCUUACAGUCGGAAAUAAAGCCAGUUUCUCUGGGACUGAAUGAAUUCCUCAGGUUUUGGUGGCUUCCUUGGGGUUUCGUAUGUUCCUAGGGAGUAGGAGCGUUCCUCGGAAUUCUGUGCUUCUUAGAGUUUGUUUCUUUCCUUCAGUGGUUCAGGGCCUUCCUCUUUGUGUUCCUCAGGGAUUGGUGUGUUCAUUGGGGCUUGGCGCCUUCCUUAGUUCAGUGCCUUCUCAGGGUUCAGUGACUUCCUCAGGUUUGGAGAAAUCCUCAGACUUAGCACGUUCCUUCGGGUUCGAUGCAUUCCUCAAAGUUUGGUGUGGUCCUCAGGACUCAGAGCCUUCCUUGGGGUUUGAUGCGUUCCUUGGGGCUUGGCGCAUUGCUUGGAGCAUUGCUUGGCUUUUGAUGCAUUCCUCAUGGUUUGGUGCCUUCCCCCGGGCUUUGGGUGUUCCUCGGGGCAUGGUGCAUUCCUUGAGGUUCGAUGCUUUCCUCAAUUUGGUGCGUUCCUCAGGAUUCAGUGGCUUCCUCUGGGUUUGGUGUGUUCCUCAGUCUCAGUUCAUCACCUUGUUCGAUAGCCUUUGUUAGAUGUCAGAGAGCAGGAUGGAUAUCUGAAAGACAGAUGACAGGCAAACGAGAUUCUGAGAAAUCAAUCCCUGUUAUGAGGCUGGAGUUUCACUGGGGGGGGGGAUAAGAAUGAAAGCUGAAAGGUCAGCACACCAUCACUGUGUCCCCCGACUGCAUGUCUCCUACUGCUUUCACUGUUGUUCAGCUUUUCAUGAUCUUAAAAUACUCAGAAUUCAAUGCA